AGUCGCCGCGGUAAUACGUAGGGUGCGAGCGUUAAUCGGAAUUACUGGGCGUAAAGCGUGCGCAGGCGGUUUUGUAAGACAGGCGUGAGAUCCCCGGGCUCAACCUGGGAAUGGCGCUUGUGACUGCAAAGCUAGAGUGCGGCAGAGGGGGAUGGAAUUCCGCGUGUAGCAGUGAAAUGCGCAGAUAUGCGGAGGAACACCGAUGGCGAAGGCAAUCCCCUGGGCCUGCACUGACGCUCAUGCACGAAAGCGUGGGGAGCAAACAGGAUUAGAUACCCCCGUAGUCCCUGUCUCUUAUACA
rnacentral:rRNA from 1 species